rnacentral:rRNA from 1 species
GUGGGGAAUUUUGGACAAUGGGCGCAAGCCUGAUCCAGCAAUGCCGCGUGCAGGAAGAAGGCCUUCGGGUUGUAAACUGCUUUUGUACGGAACGAAACGGUCCUGGUUAAUACCCGGGGCUAAUGACGGUACCGUAAGAAUAAGCACCGGCUAACUACGUGCCAGCAGCCGCGGUAAUACGUAGGGUGCAAGCGUUAAUCGGAAUUACUGGGCGUAAAGCGUGCGCAGGCGGUGCUGUAAGACAGGCGUGAAAUCCCCGGGCUUAACCUGGGAAUUGCGCUUGUGACUGCAGUGCUGGAGUGCGGCAGAGGGGGAUGGAAUUCCGCGUGUAGCAGUGAAAUGCGUAGAUAUGCGGAGGAACACCGAUGGCGAAGGCAAUCCCCUGGGCCUGCACUGACGCUCAUGCACGAAAGCGUGGGGAGCAAACAGGAUUAGAUACCCGUGUAGUCC